rnacentral:sRNA from 1 species
CGCAGUCAUCGCUGCCAGGCCUUCG